rnacentral:siRNA from 1 species
UGGAUGAGUGAAUAGUUUGGCU